CCCUUAGAUGUUCAGGGCCGCACGCGCGCUACACUGACGAAGUCAGCGAGCAUGUCCUACGCCGACAGGUGCGGGGAAUCUUGUCAAACUUCGUCGUGAUGGGGAUUGAUUAUUGAAAUUCUUGAUCAUCAACGAGGAAUUCCUAGUAAGCGCAAGUCAGCAGCUUGCGUUGAUUACGUCCCUGCCCUUUGUACACACCGCCCGUCGCUACUACCGAUUGAAUGGUUUAGUGAGAUCUUCGGAUUGGCGCCACUGCGGCUCAGCAAUGGGCUCGGUGGAUGCCGAAAAGUUGAUCAAACUUGAUCAUUUAGAGGAAGUAAAAGUCGUAACA
rnacentral:rRNA from 1 species